UGAAAUGGGCCUAAGGGUCUAACAUAAGACUCAGGAUUUAAUGGAUCGCUCUUGUGUCAUUGGUUAGUUCUUUAGUCUUCCAGAAAUCCAGACUCCUACAGUCCUACUUAAGCUAAUUAGACCAAUACGACAGCGUUAAAACUCCUAUAUAAACCGCAAGGCUUGAACAGGCAGAAGGAAGGGGAAACGCCAUCUCCGAGACCGGCGAGUUUCUCUACGCCGUUCAGUCGUCGUCGUCGUCAGAGGCGAAAGCUUAAAAGCGUGAGAGUGACGCGAUUGAAAGAUGAAGUUCCAAAUAGAAGACGUGACGGUUUAUUUCCCCUACGACAACAUCUACCCGGAGCAAUAUGCAUACAUGGUGGAACUGAAGCGUGCCCUAGAUGCCAAGGGCCACUGCCUUCUAGAGAUGCCGACUGGCACCGGUAAAACCAUAGCCUUACUUUCCCUCAUCACCAGCUACGCACUUUCCAAGCCUUCCAAUCCGAUCAAGUUCAUCUACUGCACUCGCACAGUCCACGAAAUGGAGAAAACUUUAUCCGAGCUUAAGUUGCUCCACAAUUAUCAGUUACAACACCUAGGCCCGGCCGCCAAGAUCCUUGCCCUAGGUUUAUCUUCCAGAAAGAACUUGUGUAUUAAUCCUACUGUGGUUUCCGCUGAGAAUAGAGAUUCCGUCGAUGCGGCUUGUCGCAAACUUACUGCCAGUUGGGUUCGCGAGCUCGCUGCUGAAAACCCUAGGAUUCCGACUUGUUCCUUUUUUGAGAACUACGAGAAGUCUGCUUCUGAAGCCAUUCUGCCUCCGGGGGUUUAUACCCUGCAGGAUCUUAGAGCCUACGGGAAGUUGAAAGGAUGGUGCCCAUACUUUUUAGCGCGGCACAUGGUGCAACUUGCAAAUGUGGUGGUUUAUAGCUACCAAUAUUUGCUUGAUCCUAAGGUUGCAGGCAUUAUAUCCAAAGAGAUGCAGAGAGAAUCUGUCGUGGUGUUUGACGAGGCCCACAAUAUUGAUAAUGUAUGUAUUGAGGCUUUGAGUGUCAGUGUGAGGAUGCAGACACUCGAAGGGGCUACUAGGAAUAUCAAUAGGAUGUCUCAGGAGAUAGACAGGUUUAAGGCCACUGAUGCUGGUCGACUUCGUGCCGAGUAUAACCGACUUGUUGAAGGUUUGGCUCUAAGGGGAGAUCUGCCAGCUUCAGAUGCCUGGCUAGCAAACCCUGCCUUGCCUAAUGAUAUUCUAAAGGAAGCAGUUCCUGGGAAUAUAAGGCGGGCAGAGCAUUUCUUGUCUGUUCUCCGGAGAUUAGUUCAGUAUAUUAGAGGACGCUUGCAGACUGAAAAUGUUGAAAAGGAGGGGCCUGUUGCCUUUGUUGCUUCUGUUAACACUCAAGCUGGAAUUGACCAGAAAAUGUUGAGAUUUUGUUAUGACAGGCUUCACUCAUUGAUGCUAACUCUGGAGAUAUCCGACACAGAUGAAUUCUUGCACAUACAAACUAUUUGUGACUUUGCGACACUUGUGGGAACAUAUACUCGAGGAUUUUCAAUUAUAAUUGAACCUUUUGAUGAGAGGAUGCCACAUAUUCCUGACCCAGUGCUGCAGCUAUGCUGUCAUGAUGCUUCUCUUGCCAUAAAGCCUGUUUUUGAACGAUUUCAAUCAGUUGUUAUAACUUCUGGGACUCUCAGCCCAAUUGAUCUUUACCCACGUCUUCUAAAUUUUAACCCAGUUGUUAGUCGAAGCUUCACAAUGUCCUUGACUAGGGAUUGCAUAUGCCCUAUGGUCCUCACACGGGGAAGUGAUCAGCUUCCUGUAAGUACGAAGUAUGAUCUGAGAAGUGAUCCUGGUGUUGAAAAAAACUAUGGAAAGCUUUUACUGGAAAUGGUAUCUGUUGUUCCGGAUGGAAUUGUUUGUUUCUUUGUCAGCUACUCUUACAUGGAUGGGAUAGUCAAUAGUUGGCAUGAAACAGGUCUUCUGAAGGAAAUAAUGCAACAUAAACUGGUUUUCAUCGAGACUCAAGAUGUUGUUGAAACCACAUUGGCUUUGGACAACUAUCGCAAAGCUUGCGAUUGUGGAAGAGGAGCUGUCUUUUUCUCAGUUGCGAGGGGCAAAGUUGCAGAAGGUAUUGAUUUUGAUAGGCAUUAUGGUAGGCUUGUCAUCAUGUUCGGCGUUCCUUUCCAGUACACAUUAAGCAGAAUAUUGCUUGCAAGAUUGGAGUACUUGCGGGAUACUUUCCAGAUUAAGGAGGGCGAUUUUCUGACUUUUGAUGCUUUGAGACAAGCUGCUCAAUGCGUUGGGCGAGUUAUCCGUUCAAAGGCAGAUUAUGGGAUGAUGAUAUUUGCUGACAAGAGGUUUGUAGUUUUCAGUUUUAUAAUUAAUGAACAAGAAACUGAUUAAACAACAAAAGGUCUGUUGUUGGUGGUGUCGAAAGUUGCAUUUGAUAGGAACUGAAAAGGAAGAUAGACUAUUACCAUCUCUACAUGCUACAUGUAUGUUUUGGCAUCAACAAGGAAUCAACGGUAUGGAAGUCUAAGCUUGGUACAACCUGUUAGUUGCAGCAUGGAACUGUGGAUUUGGGUGGUGCCUACAAAAGGUAGCCAAACUGCUUGGCCUUGUAUUUUGAGCUUGCUAGGUCAUACUACAAGAAGACCUCCUUCAGAAAUCAUACAUGAACAGUUAGAUUGGUUUCUGUUGAUUGUGGUGACUGUUGCCUUCUGCUUACAGCUUCACAUUUAUGAAAUUAAUUGAUCCUAUCUUCUGUUUUGUAUUCAGGUAUAGCCGUCAUGACAAGCGCUCUAAGUUACCUGGUUGGAUUUUGUCACAUUUACGUGAUGCACAUCUUAACUUGAGUACCGACAUGGCUGCGCAUAUAGCAAGAGAGUUCUUAAGGAAAAUGGCUCAGCCAUAUGAUAAAACUGGUGUCAUGGGCAAGAAAACCCUUUUGUCAGAGGCAGACUUGGAGAAGAUGGGGAAUUCCAACCUUGGGGAAAUGUUCUGAAGAUUUUGGGUUAAGCUAAGCUGCAGUCUUGUUGGAUGCCUGUGAAUUCACCAAUUUUGUCGUAAAUUUUGACCUUUUUUUUUUUGGCUGUUGUUGCUACAGAUUGUACACUGGUUGAACCAGAAACUGAUCUAGAAGGAAAAAUCUGGAAAUAUGACAGGAGGGUUUUUUUUUUGGGGGGGGGGGGGGGGUGCGAAUUAGAGAAUUUUGCUUUUUUUGAGCGUUUUUCCUUUUGGAUUUGUCUAUUUACAGAAGAAUUUUGGGAUUUUGUUGGA